rnacentral:rRNA from 1 species
UUGGAGGGCAAGUCUGGUGCCAGCAGCCGCGGUAAUUCCAGCUCCAAUAGCGUAUAUUAAAGUUGUUGCAGUUAAAAAGCUCGUAGUUGAACUUCGGGGUCUACCCAUUGGUCAGGCUUAAUUGUCUGUACUGGUGAGAUGGAUCUCUACCUUCUGAGGAACUUUCAUGCCAUUUAUUUGGUGUGAUGGGAAAUCAGGACUGUUACUUUGAAAAAAUUAGAGUGUUUAAAGCAGACUAUCGUCUGAAUACAUUAGCAUGGAAUAAUGAAAUAGGACGGACUGAUUCUAUUUCGUUGGUUUCUAGGAUCACCGUAAUGAUUAAUAGGGAUAGUUGGGGGCAUUAGUAUUCAAUUGUCAGAGGUGAAAUUCUUGGAUUUAUUGAAGACUAACUACUGCGAAAGCAUUUGCCAAGGAUGUUUUCAUUAAUCAAGAACGAAAGUUAGGGGAUCGAAGACGAUCAGAUACCGUCGUAGUCUUAACCAUAAACUAUGCCGACUAGGGAUCGGACGAAGUUAAUUUUAUAAUGACGCGUUCGGCGCCUUACGGAAAC